CUGUGUUAACCUGGUGUAAAAAUGUAUUCGUGUGUUUUAGAAUAGAGAGCAUGCAUAGGCUAACAGCCGUGAAUAAAAUUGUCAGUUGACUCCUGGAGCCGUGAAUAAAAUUGUCAGUUGACUCCCUGAACUGUGUUUCGUCCGGUUACUGGGGGAUUUGGGAUAUUGCCUUCUUUUCCAGCGCUUUACUUUGGAUUACCUUCUAUACCAGCGGAGAUCUUGGGAUUUAAUAUUGCAGCUCCGCUACAAUUGGUGGCAAGCGACGGGAUCCAACCUUACAGCCGAAAAGCGGUGUUCGGGUAAUUGAAACUACCGAACAGGAAAGUGAAUGUCAAUUCGGAUACAACAAAGAACCGAACACAGAG